AGAAUCAACGCUGGCGGCGUGCCUCAGACAUGCAAGUCGAACGCGAAAGUCCCCUUCGGGGGACAAGUAGAGUGGCGCACGGGUGAGUAACACGUAGGUAAUCUACCUUCGGAUGGGGAAUAACAACCGGAAACGGUUGCUAAUACCGCAUAAUGCAGCGGCACCUAAUGGUGACAGUUGUUAAAGCGGGGGAUCGAAAGACCUCGCGUCUGAAGAGGAGCCUGCGGCGGAUUAGCUAGUUGGUAGGGUAACGGCCUACCGAAGGCGACGAUCCGUA
rnacentral:rRNA from 1 species